rnacentral:rRNA from 1 species
AUUGAACGCUGGCGGCAUGCCUUACACAUGCAAGUCGAACGGCAGCACGGGAGCAAUCCUGGUGGCGAGUGGCGAACGGGUGAGUAAUAUAUCGGAACGUGCCCAGUCGUGGGGAUAACGUAGCGAAAGCUACGCUAAUACCGCAUACGAUCUAUGGAUGAAAGCGGGGGAUCGCAAGACCUCGCGCGAUUGGAGCGGCCGAUAUCAGAUUAGGUAGUUGGUGAGGUAAAGGCUCACCAAGCCGACGAUCUGUAGCUGGUCUGAGAGGACGACCAGCCACACUGGGACUGAGACACGGCCCAGACUCCUACGGGAGGCAGCAGUGGGGAAUAUUGGACAAUGGGCGAAAGACCUGAUCCAGCAAUGCCGCGUGAGUGAUGAAGGCCU